AGCGUUGUCCGGAAUUAUUGGGCGUAAAGAGCUCGUAGGCGGCUUGUCACGUCGGAUGUGAAAGCCCGGGGCUUAACCCCGGGUCUGCAUUCGAUACGGGCUAGCUAGAGUGUGGUAGGGGAGAUCGGAAUUCCUGGUGUAGCGGUGAAAUGCGCAGAUAUCAGGAGGAACACCGGUGGCGAAGGCGGAUCUCUGGGCCAUUACUGACGCUGAGGAGCGAAAGCGUGGGGAGCGAACAGGAUUAGAUACCCUGGUAGUCCACGCCGUAAACGUUGGGAACUAGGUGUUGGCGACAUUCCACGUCGUCGGUGCCGCAGCUAACGCAUUAAGUUCCCCGCCUGGGGAGUACGGCCGCAAGGCUAAAACUCAAAGGAAUUGACGGGGGCCCGCACAAGCAGCGGAGCAUGUGGCUUAAUUCGACGCAACGCGAAGAACCUUACCAAGGCUUGACAUAUACCGGAAAAGCAUCAGAGAUGGUGCCCCCCUUGUGGUCGGUAUACAG
rnacentral:rRNA from 1 species